rnacentral:rRNA from 1 species
CUGUAAGCCUGCGAAGGUGGCCUGUGAGGGUUGCUGGAGGUAUCAGAAGUGCGAAUGCUGACAUAAGUAACGAUAAAGCGGGUGAAAAGCCCGCUCGCCGGAAGACCAAGGGUUCCUGUCCAACGUUAAUCGGGGCAGGGUGAGUCGACCCCUAAGGCGAGGCCGAAAGGCGUAGUCGAUGGGAAACGGGUUAAUAUUCCCGUACUUGGUGUUACUGCGAAGGGGGGACGGAGAAGGCUAUGUUGGCCGGGCGACGGUUGUCCCGGUUUAAGCGUGUAGGUGUGUGUUCCAGGUAAAUCCGGUUCACUUUAACACUGAGGCGUGACGACGAGGCACUACGGUGCUGAAGCAACAAAUGCCCUGCUUCCAGGAAAAGCCUCUAAGCAUCAGGUAACAUCAAAUCGUACCCCAAACCGACACAGGUGGUCAGGUAGAGAAUACCAAGGCGCUUGAGAGAACUCGGGUGAAGGAACUAGGCAAAAUGGUGCCGUAACUUCGGGAGAAGGCACGCUGACACGUAGGUGAAGUGAUUUACUCAUGGAGCUGAAGUCAGUCGAAGAUACCAGCUGGCUGCAACUGUUUAUUAAAAACACAGCACUGUGCAAACACGAAAGUGGACGUAUACGGUGUGACGCCUGCCCGGUGCCGGAAGGUUAAUUGAUGGGGUCAGCGCAAGCGAAGCUCCUGAUCGAAGCCCCGGUAAACGGCGGCCGUAACUAUAACGGUCCUAAGGUAGCGAAAUUCCUUGUCGGGUAAGUUCCGACCUGCACGAAUGGCGUAAUGAUGGCCAGGCUGUCUCCACCCGAGACUCAGUGAAAUUGAACUCGCUGUGAAGAUGCAGUGUACCCGCGGCAAGACGGAAAGACCCCGUGAACCUUUACUAUAGCUUGACACUGAACAUUGAGCCUUGAUGUGUAGGAUAGGUGGGAGGCUUUGAAGCGUGGACGCCAGUCUGCGUGGAGCCGACCUUGAAAUACCACCCUUUAAUGUUUGAUGUUCUAACGUGGACCCGUAAUCCGGGUUGCGGACAGUGUCUGGUGGGUAGUUUGACUGGGGCGGUCUCCUCCUAAAGAGUAACGGAGGAGCACGAAGGUUGGCUAAUCCUGGUCGGACAUCAGGAGGUUAGUGCAAUGGCAUAAGCCAGCUUGACUGCGAGCGUGACGGCGCGAGCAGGUGCGAAAGCAGGUCAUAGUGAUCCGGUGGUUCUGAAUGGAAGGGCCAUCGCUCAACGGAUAAAAGGUACUCCGGGGAUAACAGGCUGAUACCGCCCAAGAGUUCAUAUCGACGGCGGUGUUUGGCACCUCGAUGUCGGCUCAUCACAUCCUGGGGCUGAAGUAGGUCCCAAGGGUAUGGCUGUUCGCCAUUUAAAGUGGUACGCGAGCUGGGUUUAGAACGUCGUGAGACAGUUCGGUCCCUAUCUGCCGUGGGCGCUGGAGAACUGAGGGGGGCUGCUCCUAGUACGAGAGGACCGGAGUGGACGCAUCACUGGUGUUCGGGUUGUCAUGCCAAUGGCACUGCCCGGUAGCUAAAUGCGGAAGAGAUAAGUGCUGAAAGCAUCUAAGCACGAAACUUGCCCCGA